CUGUUCGCCGUUCAGAAAAAAAAACCGCUGCGCACCAUGCCCGCACGACUUUCGCCUACUCCUCCUCCUCCCAACAGACGCCAGCCGUUCGCCACAGCACGGACGGGCCGCCUCCCGCGCCGAUCCUCCCGCCGCCUCCCACGCCGUUCGCCGCCCGCCGAUCCAAUCAUCCUCCGCAGCCGCUCAGCUUGGCGGGAGGAUUUCCCUGGCCUUGCCCCGUCCUCUCGUCUCUCGAUCUGAUCGAGGCCACAGCUCGGGAAUGGCGGCUGGCAUGCGGAAGGCGCCAUCCAUGGAGUGGCGGUGGGUGUCCGCGGGAGAGGAGGAUGACGACAAGCUGGAGGGCCGCAGGGCAGGGGGGCCCGCGGCCGUCGGGGCGGCAGCUUCGAGUCGGAGGACGAGGAGGACAACAUCGACUACGAGGACGAGGAGCACCGGGAGGCCAGGCAACGCCUGAUUCGGACCGUGCUGACCGUCGACUGGUUCCGGGCGCCAACGGCCAACGAGGUCUCAGGCAACGGCCAACGAGGUCUCGGGCGCGCAGCCUCUCGAGGACCCCGAGGAACCUCUUCCUGCUCCGUGGGUGGUUAAAGCGAGAAUACGGGCAGUGAUCAAACUUCAAACGUCAUAAUUAAAGAUACCUUGCCCAAUGCAAGUACCUUUUUCUAGGAGGCUUAAGAACUUGUAUAAGCACCUGUAGUCUCUGCAAUGCAAAAUUCCAACCCUACAGGUUUUCCACUGGGAGAACAAGUUUCUAGAUACCACAAUAAGAAUACUCAUUUUCUUGUUCUCUGUUUUUCAUUGCAAUUUUUUGUUGUGCAAUAUGAGUUGAUAUGAAUCAAACAUCCCAAGUAUUAUUGUUGACUAAUUUUUAAAUUACCUCCCUUCCAAGCAGCCCUUGAACAAUGAACAAGGAAAUUUCGGAGUCCUUGUUUCACUGCCUCCGAGGACGUGGGAGCCACCACCACCGUUGCUUACUUCCAGAACUAAAAGUCCUAGAUUCGUGUUGGCCAGCUUGAGACUGAAUAUAAACUAAGGUGCAUAGAGAGGGAUCGGUCAUAAUAAGCAUCUGUGUACAUCAUAAUUGUAUUCCUCCGUCGAGUACACAAGAGAGAGGGGUAUGUUGUUUUAGAAGAGGGCAAAAUAUAGUUAAAAGAGGGCAAAAUAAAGCAUGUAGGCUGAUGAAUGUCAAUUUAGACCAUCAUUUUGCAAUUGCUACUUUUGGUUCCAAAGGAUUAACAAGAUAAACUCGAUUGUUUAUAUGACCUUGCACUUAUAAGUUUACGUUGCAAAUUUUAUCACACUAGCAAUGUUGUGUGCAGAGAUAAUUUGUUUCAGCAAACUUGAUCAUGUGGAGAUUGUUGUGUGCAGAUAUCAGACUUCAGUGGCUAUAAGAAAAACUAAAGCUCUGUUUCCACAGGCGAAUGCAGCCUGACUGAAGAAUGCAAGCUCUGUUUCCUCAAGCUAUGUAUUAGGUUGCAUAUAUAUAACAAAGUGAGGUCCUCAUCCUGGUUCGUUUGGCAUGGCCACAUCCUCAUGGCCAAUAAGCUGUUGCGCUAGAGAUGGCCAGGCAGUGAGAUUUGCCCGACGUGUGGCUCUUGCGAAGAGACGGCCAGCUUUGCGAGGCAAGUAUGGCCAGGGUGGCCUUUUGGUCAUGAUACCAGGUGUUGUCUCCCCCAGUUCCUAAAACAUCGCUCCCAUCUAUGACUGGUGGAUGGCGAUCAGGUUUCAAAGGAGGAGAAAAAGCAUUUUCAUGGACUCACCUCGUAUGGCGUUAGGAAAAAUUGGAACAUUAAGUCAAUGACACCACAUUCAAGAUAUGAUUUUGUUAUAGUUGUUCCGGAUGCAUGGUGGGGGGCUGAGGUUUUGGGCCUCCCUUUUCCCCUCUAUUAGACAAAAUCUACCUGUAUGGGUCUGGCUGUAAAACUAACUUCGACUAACAUAUCCUUGCUUGCGAUGGAAUACAAAUGUAUUUUCUUUAAGCUGUAAUACUAAAAUACUUGUUUUUGUGAUGUAAUAUGGGUAUAGUUGAUUUUUUUGUGCGUGCA